rnacentral:lncRNA from 1 species
GAUUGGAAGCUAGAAUUAAACAAUAUUGACAAGUAAUCCUUCUUUUGGCUUCAUUUGAUAGGAUUGGGGACUUUUUCGAGAGCAUGAGGCGAACAUGUAGAAGGGUGAGUUGACCAAUUUUGACGCUUUGAUUUUUUUUUUGAUAAGAAACCAAAAUUGGUCAAGUAUAUCUAUAAUGAGGUCUUUUAAGCUGGAUUUGGUCAGUUGCUGUGAAAUUUGUAGAUUUUUGGUCGAGAUACGUACAGUUUGAUCCUGAUUGGUUGGAUAGGUUAAGAACUGGGAGGUGGUAGGAUAAAUUUAGACUGGAUUGGGAUUUAACCUUGUUUUAAACAAUUAAACUAUUAUAUGAGAUAAUCAUUUGAGCAAUGGAACUUAUCAAGGGCAGGUCCGGGAGUGUCUGUCUGUAAGAGACAAGAUGCAUGCGACAUUAUAAAUGCUAGAAACUAAAUUUUGUACAGCAGAUGAUGCCUUCCUGAUAAUAGAAGUGAUUUCAAUGUUGCUCCGAUG